rnacentral:rRNA from 1 species
GAUGAACGCUGGCGGCGUGCCUAAUACAUGCAAGUCGAGCGAACGGACGAGAAGCUUGCUUCUCUGAUGUUAGCGGCGGACGGGUGAGUAACACGUGGAUAACCUACCUAUAAGACUGGGAUAACUUCGGGAAACCGGAGCUAAUACCGGAUAAUAUUUUGAACCGCAUGGUUCAAAAGUGAAAGACGGUCUUGCUGUCACUUAUAGAUGGAUCCGCGCUGCAUUAGCUAGUUGGUAAGGUAACGGCUUACCAAGGCAACGAUGCAUAGCCGACCUGAGAGGGUGAUCGGCGACACUGGAACUGAGACACGGUCCAGACUCCUACGGGAGGCAGCAGUAGGGAAUCUUCCGCAAUGGGCGAAAGCCUGACGGAGCAACGCCGCGUGAGUGAUGAAGGUCUUCGGAUCGUAAAACUCUGUUAUUAGGGAAGAACAGAUGUGUAAGUAACUGUGCACAUCGUGACGGUACCUAAUCAGAAAGCCACGGCUAACUACGUG